UCAAAGACUAAAGAGUUACUUACAAAAGAGAACAUUUAUAAACUCGAAGAUCGAACAAGUACCGUGAGGGAAAGAUGAAAAGAACUUUGAAAAGAGAGUUAAAAAG
rnacentral:rRNA from 1 species